UGAGUAUAGGGCAGUGCUGUAGACUCCUGCUUGUGUGGUGAGAAAGCCAACCUUGGAGAGCUGGGUAUACA
rnacentral:snoRNA from 1 species